rnacentral:snRNA from 1 species
AUUGCUUCUCGGCCUUUUGGCUAAGAUCAAGUGUAGUAUUUAAAGGCAAGUUCAAAAGGCAAUCUUAUAGUAAAUGUGGGUUAAUUCUAUGCUAGACUUUCCGAGUUACCAAGAUUACCUACAUACCAUUAGUAAGUAGGUUUUUUUUUUUUCAAA